rnacentral:rRNA from 1 species
UAGGGAAUCUUCGGCAAUGGGGGCAACCCUGACCGAGCAACGCCGCGUGAGUGAAGAAGGUUUUCGGAUCGUAAAGCUCUGUUGUAAGUCAAGAACGAGUGUGAGAGUGGAAAGUUCACACUGUGACGGUAGCUUACCAGAAAGGGACGGCUAACUACGUGCCAGCAGCCGCGGUAAUACGUAGGUCCCGAGCGUUGUUCGGAUUUAUUGGGCGUAAAGCGAGCGCAGGCGGUUUGAUAAGUCUGAAGUUAAAGGCUGUGGCUCAACCAUAGUUCGCUUUGGAAACUGUCAAACUUGAGUGCAGAAGGGGAGAGUGGAAUUCCAUGUGUAGCGGUGAAAUGCGUAGAUAUAUGGAGGAACACCGGUGGCGAAAGCGGCUCUCUGGUCUGUAACUGACGCUGAGGCUCGAAAGCGUGGGGAGCGAACAGGAUUAGAUACCCUGGUAGUCCACGCCGUAAACGAUGAGUGCUAGGUGUUGGAUCCUUUCCGGGAUUCAGUGCCGCAGCUAACGCAUUAAGCGCUCCGCCUGGGGAGUACGACCGCAAGGUUG